CCUACGGGUGGCUGCAGUGGGGAAUAUUGGACAAUGGGGGGAACCCUGAUCCAGCCAUGCCGCGUGUGUGAAGAAGGCCCUCGGGUUGUAAAGCACUUUCAGUGAGGAAGAACGCCUGGUGGUUAAUACCCAUCAGGAAAGACAUCACUCACAGAAGAAGCACCGGCUAACUCCGUGCCAGCAGCCGCGGUAAUACGGAGGGUGCGAGCGUUAAUCGGAAUUACUGGGCGUAAAGCGCGCGUAGGUGGCUUGAUAAGCCGGUUGUGAAAGCCCCGGGCUCAACCUGGGAACGGCAUCCGGAACUGUCCAGCUAGAGUGCAGGAGAGGAAAGUAGAAUUCCCGGUGUAGCGGUGAAAUGCGUAGAGAUCGGGAGGAAUACCAGUGGCGAAGGCGGCCUUCUGGACUGACACUGACACUGAGGUGCGAAAGCGUGGGUAGCAAACAGGAUUAGAUACCCGUGUAGUC
rnacentral:rRNA from 1 species